GGGUUGUGAGGUUAAGCGAACAAGCGUACACGGUGGAUGCCCUGGCAGUCAGAGGCGAUGAAGGACGUGCUAAUCUG
rnacentral:rRNA from 1 species